rnacentral:lncRNA from 1 species
UAAACCCUGCUCAGAAGUCAAGAGCAGCAGCGCCGCCGCUCUUCGCGGCCUUUCAUGCCGCAGCCACUCCUUAUUCUUGUGCCUCGGCCUCUCUGGGCGCCCCCGGACAAAGCCCCCCGGAGCCCGGCCGCUCCCUUCCCGCUAAAUCCCCUUCGGGGUCAGCGCGCUACCAGAACCGGGCCGUGCGCCUCUCCUGGCAGCUGGUGGGUCCUACCCUCCGCCUCAGGUUCCCCUUCUCUCCAACAGCUCCCACCGCCCCCCAUCCCCCUCCCCGGCUUCUCCGCCCCUACUUUUGCCCUUUAGAUUGAUUGUGGCCCGGAACACUGGC